CAAAGGAAGGAGCACACACCAGAUGGCACAUCCUGUUCUGACAGGGCGUGAUCUCCCUCUGCUAAAACAUUCUCUUCCAUCAGACUGGAAAAGAGAAACCUAAGGGGUGACCUAAUUGCGGCUUUACAGUACCUGAAGAGAGCCUACAAGAGAGAUGGAGAGGGACUUCUUACAAGAUGUGCAGUGACAGAAUAAGGGUGAAUGGCUCCAAACUGUCAGAAAGCUGACAGGCUCUGAUGCAGAAGCACAAGAAGACAGGCAGCAUGGUUUCUGUGGGAGAACUUGAGCAAGAGCUGAGUUCUCCUUUACUUGAUUUCAAGUAAAUCGAUUUCAAUUUUAAA